rnacentral:rRNA from 1 species
CCCUUAGAUGUUCUGGGCCGCACGCGUGCUACACUGAGUGGAUCAGCGGGUCAGGUUGCGCGAAAGCGUUUCCUAAUCUUUAAAUCCGCUCGUGAUGGGGAUUGACGGUUGCAAUUUUCUGUCAUGAACGAGGAAUACCUUGUAAGCGAGGGUCAUCAUCCCGCGCUGAAUACGUCCCUGCCCUUUGUACACACCGCCCGUCGCUCCUACCGAUUGAGUGGUCCGGUGAGGCUUUGGGAUCUGAGCGGAAAGAGCGUUUCGCUGUUUCUGCUCGGAAAACUCAGUCGAACCUUAUCAUUUAGAGGAAGGAGAAGUCGUAACA